UGAACGCUAGCGGCAGGCUUAACACAUGCAAGUCGAGGGGCAGCACAGGUAGCAAUACUGGGUGGCGACCGGCGCACGGGUGCGUAACGCGUAUACAAUUUACCUUUUACUAGGGGAUAGCCCAGAGAAAUUUGGAUUAAUACCCUAUAGUAUUAUCGGAUCGCAUGGUUUGGUAAUUAAAAGUUUCGGCGGUAAGAGAUGAGUAUGCGUCCUAUUAGCUAGAUGGUAAGGUAACGGCUUACCAUGGCUAUGAUAGGUAGGGGUCCUGAGAGGGAGAUCCCCCCACACUGGUACUGAGACACGGACCAGACUCCGUACGGGAGGCAGCAGUGAGGAAUAUUGGUCAAUGGGCGCAAGCCUGAACCAGCCAUGCCGCGUGCAGGAUGACUGCCCUAUGGUUGUAAACUGCUUUUUUAACAGGAAGAAACCCUACCAGUGCGUGUAGAUUGACGGUACUGUAUGAAUAGCACGGCUAACUCCGUGCCAGCAG
rnacentral:rRNA from 1 species